GACGAACGCUGGCGGCGUGCCUAAUACAUGCAAGUAGAACGCAGUUGCGCACGGGUGAGUAACGCGUAGGUAACUGCCUCAUAGCGGGGGAUAACUAUUGGAAACGAUAGCUAAUACCGCAUACUUUGAGAUGGACCUGCGUUGUGUUAGCUAGUUGGUGAGGUAAAGGCUCACCAAGGCGACGAUACAUAGCCGGCCUGAGAGGGUGAUCGGCCAAAACGGGACUGAGGAACGGGCCAGACUCCUACGGGAGGCAGCAAGAGGGAAUCAUCGGCAAUGGGGGGAAGUCUGACCGAGGAACGCCGCGGGAGUUAAGAAGGGUUUCGGAUCGUAAAGCUCUGUUGUUAGAGAAGCGGUAACUAAACAGAAAGGGACGGCUAACUACGUGCCAGCAGCCGCGGUAAUAC
rnacentral:rRNA from 1 species